AUACGGAGGGUGCAAGCGUUACUCGGAAUCACUGGGCGUAAAGCGCGCGCAGGCGGCUAUUUAAGUUGGAUGUGAAAGCCUACGGCUCAACCGUAGAACUGCGUCCAAAACUAUUUAUCUAGAGUGUGGGAGAGGAAGAUGGAAUUAGUUGUGUAGGGGUAAAAUCCGUGGAGAUAACUAGGAAUACCAAAAGCGAAGGCAAUCUUCUGGAACACUACUGACGCUGAGGCGCGAAAGCGUGGGGAGCAAACGGGAUUAGAAACCCUAGUAGUCC
rnacentral:rRNA from 1 species